rnacentral:lncRNA from 1 species
GCCCCCGUCAUGGCGCCCGAGGAGAACGCGGGGAGCGAACUCUUGCUGCAGAGUUUCAAGCGCCGCUUCCUGGCAGCGCGCGCCCUGCGCUCCUUCCGCUGGCAGAGCUUAGAAGCAAAGUUAAGAGACUCAUCAGAUUCUGAGCUGCUGCGGGAUAUUUUGCAGAAGUAGACUGUGAAGCAUCCUGUGUGUGUGAAGCACCCGCCGUCAGUCAAGUAUGCCCGGUGCUUUCUCUCAGAACUCAUCAAAAAGACGUGCUGUAUUGCCCAGAAGCCAUCGUGUCGCUGGUCGGGGUCCUGCGGAGGCUGGCUGCCUGCCGGGAGCACCAGCGGGCUCCUCAAUUCUACAUGGCCCUUACCGUCUGCAACCCAGAGAUGUGCCAGCUGUUCACCACCGAGCUAUGUGAGCCCCCACGCCCACCCGGGCCUGCAUGGUCCCCAAGCUGUCCCUACAGGACUCCAGUGGAAGUGAAAGAACUGGGGGCCGGGGAAAAGCUAGGAUGCCCCACACUCCCACACCAUGCGGGGAACUAGGGCAGAGGCCGGCUGGACUGGGAUCAGAUGGGAAGCGGAAGCUCAUCAUGACCAGAAACUGUUUCCCUACAGAGAGCACUUGGAGAUGGCAAAGCUGAACCUCACACUGUAGGACUCACACAUGACUCCAACGGGAUUGUGAGAAUUAAGUCACUCUCGUGGGAAGAAUUUUUAUAUGGGAAAGCGGAUAAAACUUUCAUUGGACUGGAAUGUUUGGAGAAUGUUAAAUUCCAAAUCAGGAACCACAAACUGCGCUCUAAUAAGACAUCGGCUAUCUAAGCAUGUGGGUUCCCCCUUUCUGCCAGCAGUUCUGGUUCUUAAGAAAAUCACCAUAAAUCAGACAUGAAAAUUCUGGCUCCAAAAAUAGCAUUUUCAUUGUGCAAAUAAAAACGUGUGUAUCAAGUA